rnacentral:rRNA from 1 species
UACGUCCAUAUCACGUUGAAAUUCCAGUUCUCUUACGAUCACCGAAGUUAAGCAACGUUCUGCUUGGUUAGUACCUAGAUGGGUGACCGAUUUGGAAUAUAAGAUGCUGUAAG